GUAAGUGCGUCGAGGGAGAAUAGAAAGCAUCAGGGCAAACUAGGGACCUAGUGUCAUCGGGCGACUCUGAACUCUCUCGCCUCACCGACCGGCCGCAGUGACGUCGGCCGUUGCCUCGGGCCGGUGAAGGUCGGUCGCAGAGGCGACGGCCGUUACCUAGGGCCGGUGCAGGUCGGACCCGGGGGCGGCGGCCGUUACCUAGAGCUGCUGCAGGUCGGACCCGGGGGCGUCGCUACCCUCAUGUCGGACGCCUUCGGCGGGUGCUGCCGGUUGGGCGCCCGCUGGGGUAGUAGGCGAUGUGGAUGAUGGUGGGAGCGGAAGAAGAUGACGUUGCGGUGGCGGAAGCGCCGCAGCGAGCACCAGUAGCAGGAGUAGGAGUAGGAGCGGUAGGUCGUGCUGUUCCUGCUCUUCCUAUGGGAGACCCAGCAGCACGGGGACGCCCAGAAGUACUACGACCUGGAGGAGUCGGAGUACCCGCGCAUGCCGCGGCCGUGGACGGUCCUGUUCGAGAGGUGGUAGAUGAUGCGCCACUACCACCGGCCGCAGAAUGAGACGCAGCGGCAAGAGUUCAACCACCUGUCCACGAUGUUCUUGAGACCGGAGUCGGGGCCGAGGCCGUCGUACUACUGGCAGGGGUUGUCGUCGUUGUCGAGGCCACCGCGCUUGAACUGGUAGUUAGGGGUGAGGUCGGGGCCGAGACCGCCGUACUGGGAGGGGUUGGUGUCGUUGCCGAGGCUGUGGCCGCCGCGCUACGGCUGGCGGUUAGAACUGAGGCCACGGUCGCCCUAACAGCGGAGUGUGAGACUGGGGCUCCACCUCCGGGUCCUCUUCUUUCGGCUUCUUUCCGAGACGUUCCAGGACUACGAGGAGCGCUAAAAGCGGCACUCGUAGUGCAUGCAGCGGCCCGACUUGUGGGGCCCACCGAAGACCCUGUCGUGGCCCCUUUCGGUGGUGGACCCGCUGCGCUAAGACUUCCUGGUGGUGUUGUAUGCGGACUGCCACAAGAAUAAGACGUUGUGGUACCGCAAGCACCGCAGGGACAAGUAGUGGUACGAGGAGUAGUAGCUGCCGUUCUUAGAGGUGUUCUUCUUCCGAGCCAGAGCGUACGAGAUGCCCACGUAGCAGCGGCGCGACCAGCCCGAACAACCGCGGAUGCGGCGUCCGUCGACGUCCCUCUGGCUGUGGUGGCAGAUGCACGAGAGGGACCAACCGCGGCAAGACCGUAUGUAGGAGGAGGUAGCGAAGACGUCAAGUCGUGGUUUUAAUAAAACAACAACAAAGUCAGGUCGGGUUGUUGGACUACUUUUACUCCUGUGACUACUCUCACGAUCCCUCCGAAACCUGUUCCGAGCGAGAGAACAAGAUGACGACCGGUGAGAACGACGGCGGUAGUGGAUGCGUCGCCCCAACCUGGGCGGCCCACCGGAAACCGUCCUAUUGUCGUUACCGGUGUACCGACCACUAGGCUAAGAGGAGUGUUGUUUGUAACGUUCCAUGUCUCGGAAGAUGAUGACGUUGAGCCAACGCAAACAUCGGAGGAACCACCGGUAGCAGGACCAGGUCUUCCUCUUCGAACAGUUCGUGGUGCGCAACCUCCGUCGGUACUAUGAGCAGGACAAACCGGAGUAGCCGCGCAUACGACGACCCUCGACAGCCCUGCACUUGUUUAGGUAAAUGCGGUACCGAAAUCGUCCGCGACAGGACUAGAUACAGCACUAGGUAUAACAGAAGAAGUGAGACCUGGUGUUCCUAUUCUUUCUGCUACGAUUUCUUCUAGACAACGACCUCUUCUCCGCGUUUGCCAACGAGGAGAAGCGUUAGAACCGUCGCUGGUAGUGGAUGGUUCGGCCGGAGUGGGGAGGGCCGCCGAAGGACGACGUCCUGCUGUUCGAACCUGCCGUGGUGCGGCCGCUGGGCCAGGAGAACCUGUUGAUGGGUGCGGCGAUGUUACGGAAGAAGAUGACGUUGAGUUAUUCGAAGUACAACAGGUAACGAGUAGUAGGAGGACCACUUGGGGUUAGACCGUCGCUGUCGCCCAUGCUCCGUCCGUUAGGCCACUACGUGCUGUUGUCCUCCGGGGCCAUGGAGUAGAAGAAGAUGUCGUUGAGGUGGAGGAAAUACCGAAGGUAGCAGCAGUAGUAGUACAACGAUGGCGUUACCGACGCUUUCCUCGUCGUUCCCCUUACCCUCUUUACCAGCGACUCCCACUACUUGUCCUGCUAGUCUGACCUAAAUAAACGAGAGGAUCCCCGGAUACGUCGGCCCAGGUUGUCCCCCACCUUCUGCAGGUACAUACAGCAGCGCGAGUAGUAACGGCACGACCCGAUGAAAAAUUAGGUGUACUUCGAAAGUUGUACAGAACUUGCAGCGGCAUUCUUCGCGCUACGGCUUCGUCGGUACCCUUAGUAUGACAACUCACUCUCUUACCUCACACUACAGGGACGGCACCUCGACGUCGGCCGUGAGGGGCGUCACGGUUACCUAGUCGGUCCGGUCGGUCUCCGUCGUAGAGACGUGGGCCGUUACCGCGUCCACGUCGGCCGUUUCGGCGGGCACGUCGGUACCCUCAUGUCGGACGCCUUCAUGGAGGACGACGACCGGUGGAACCACCACUGGCAGUGAAUGUGCCUCCCCAAGUUGGGCGGCCCUCCGCAGACCGUCCGGCGGGUGCUACCGGUUGGACGGCCGCUGGGGUAGUAGGCGAUGUGGGUGAUGGUGGCGAUGGAGCGGAAGGAGAUGACGUUGCGGCGGCGGAAGCGGCGCAGCGAGCACCAGUAGCAGGAGUAGGAGUAGGAGCGGUAGGCCGUGCUGUUCUUCCCCUUCCUGUCGGUUACCCAACAGCACGGGGACGCCGAUCAGUACCACGACCUGGACGAGUCGGAGUACCCACGCAUGCCGCGGCAUGGACGGCGCUGUUCUAAAGUUAGAAGAUGAAGCGCACGGCCGUACUAAGGACGGGGGCAGCGGUCGAGGCAUCUGCCCUACGGGCAGUUGUGCCCGAGGCUGAGGCCACCGUGCUGCGGGUAAGGGUUAGGACUGAGGCCGUGGCCGUGCUCAGUGCCGGGGCAGCGGUCGACACUGCCGCCCUACGGGCAGAGGUUGCUGUUGUGGCCGAGGCCGCUGUACUACGGGUGAGGUUUAGGGCUGAGGUCAUGGCUGUACCAAGGGUGGGGGUAGGAGCCGAGACUGGGCUGGUGACAGCUUCUUACCAAGGCGCUGGCGUUCCGGGACUUCUUCGACUUUCGGCUUCUUGCCGAGGCGUUCCAGGACUACGAAGACCGAUGUAAGCGCCACUCGUAGUGUAUGCAGCGGCCCGACUCGUGCGGCCCGCCGAAGACCCUGUCGUGGCCCCCGUCGGUGGCGGGUCCGCUGCGGUAGGAGUUCCUGGUCGUGUCGGGUGCGGACUGCCACAAGAACGAGACGUUGUGGUGCCGCAAGCACCGUAGGGACGAGUAGUGGUACGACGAGUAGUAGCUGCCGUUCUUCGAGGCGUUCUUCUUCUGCCGAGCCAGAGCGCACGAGACGCCCACGUAGCACCAGCGGGACCAGCCGGAGCAGCCGCGUAUGUAGCGGCCGUCGACGUCCCUCUAGCUAUGGUGGCGGAUGCACCGGUCGAACCAGCCGCGGCAAGACCGUUAUCGUGUGUAGUAGGAUGAGAUACCAUAGAUGCGAAGUUGCGUUGUCUGACUUCUUUAAGUCGUCUGACUACUAUUACAGUUAUGUUAUGUCACGUCACCGUUCCUCCAAGACCUGUUCCGACCGAGAGAACAAGAUGACGAACGGUGAGAACGGCGGCGGUAGUGGAUGUGUCGCCCCAACUUCGGUGGCCCUCCCGAAACCGUCCUGUUGUGGUUGCCCGUGUACCGGCCACUGGGGUAGGAAGAGUGUUGGUUACGAUCGGCUAUGUUCCGGAAGAAGAUGACGUUGAGCCAACGGAAACACCGGAGGAACCACCGGUAACAGGAUCAGGUCUACCUUUAAGACCAAUUCGUGGUGCACGACCUCCGUCGGUACUAUGAGCUGGACAAACCGGAGUAGCCACGUAUACGACGGCCCUCGACGGCCCUGCACUUGUUGAGAUAAAUGCAGUACCGAAACCGUCCGGAGCAGGACCAGAUACACCACUAGGUACAAUAGAAGAAGUGCGACCUGGUGCUCCUGUUUUUGGUGCUGUUGGUCCGUUUAGUCAACGACCUCUUCUCCGCGUUUGCCAACGAGGAGAAGCGCUAGAACCGACGCUGGUAAUGGAUGGUUCGGCCGGAGUGGGGAGGACCACCGAAGGACGAGGUCCUACUGUUGGAGCCUGUGGUCCGACCGCUGGGCCAGGAGAACAUGUUGAAGAGUGCAGCGAUGUUCCGUAAGAAGAUGACGUUGAGCCACUCGAAGUACGAAAGGUAGAGGGAGUAGGAGGAGGACCACUUGGGGUUAGAUAUGUCCGGUCGGUAUGCUUCGUUACGCGAUAGACAAACAUGCCGCGACCCGAACAAAACAAACUACCACCGGAUGCGGCAACCUUCGUGGGUUGUGGAGUUCUGUAGGUAGAUGUAGAAACACAACCAGCCACACCAGGAGAAUCAACGUCGACCUGACGACGAUCAUAAACGCGACUCCCUCGUUUUGUUAUCACUGUUAAGUCGUCGACGGCGCGGUAGGUAUAGGGUACUUGUCCUCCUUCUUCUUCUUUCCUUGUUCCUCCUUCUUUCCUUCUUCGUGCGCUCCGCGUUCAUGGACUACGACGAUCCUUAGAACCACCGUUCGCAACGGAUGGUCCGGCCGGACCUUGGCGGGCCGCCUCGUACCGUCUCGUCACCGUUACCUAUACUCCGUCCGCUAGGCCACUACGUACUAUAGUCCUCCGGAGCCAUGGAACAGAAGAAGAUGUCGUUGAGGAAAAGGAAGCACCGAAGGUAACAACAGUAGUACUACAAUGACGGCGUGACCGACGGUUUGUCCUUCUUUCUUCUUACCCUCUUUACCAGCAACUCCCACUACUUGACCUGCUAGGACGACCUAAACCAGCGAGAGGAUCACCGUAUACGUCGGCCUAGGUCGUCCCCAACCUUCUGCAGACACAUACAGUCGUACGAGUAUGAACGGCAAGACCCGAUGAAACGUUAGGUAUACUGCGACAGUUAUACCAGACUAGCGACGGCAGCGGUAGCAGAAGCGGCACUCUCGUCGGUUCUUUCAGCAGCUCACACU
rnacentral:rRNA from 1 species